rnacentral:rRNA from 1 species
UACGUAGGGGGCAAGCGUUGUCCGGAUUUAUUGGGCGUAAAGAGCGUGUAGGCGGCUAGGUAGGUCCGUUGUGAAAACUUGAGGCUCAACCUCGAGACGCCGAUGGAAACCGUCUGGCUAGAGUCCGGAAGAGGAGAGUGGAAUUCCUGGUGUAGCGGUGAAAUGCGCAGAUAUCAGGAAGAACACCCGUGGCGAAAGCGGCUCCCUGGAACGGUACUGACGCUGAGACGCGAAAGCCGUGGGGAGCGAACAGG